rnacentral:SRP_RNA from 1 species
UGUUGGUUCUCCCGCAACGCUACUCUGUUUACCAGGUCAGGUCCGGAAGGAAGCAGCCAAGGCAGAUGACGC